rnacentral:rRNA from 1 species
GAUCUGGUUCAGAUUGAACGCUGGCGGCAGGCCUAACACAUGCAAGUCGAACGGUAACAGGAAGAAGCUUGCUUCUUGCUGACGAGUGGCGGACGGGUGAGUAAUGUCUGGGAAACUGCCUGAUGGAGGGGGAUAACUACUGGAAACGGUAGCUAAUACCGCAUAACGUCGCAAGACCAAAGAGGGGGACCUUCGGGCCUCUUGCCAUCGGAUGUGCCCAGAUGGGAUUAGCUAGUAGGUGGGGUAACGGCUCACCUAGGCGACGAUCCCUAGCUGGUCUGAGAGGAUGACCAGCCACACUGGAACUGAGACACGGUCCAGACUCCUACGGGAGGCAGCAGUGGGGAAUAUUGCACAAUGGGCGCAAGCCUGAUGCAGCCAUGCCCGCGUGUAUGAAGAAGGCCUUCGGGUUGUAAAGUACUUUCAGCGGGGAGGAAGGGAGUAAAGUUAAUACCUUUGCUCAUUGACGUUACCCGCAGAAGAAGCACCGGCUAACUCCGUGCCAGCCGCCGC